CAGUCUGAUAUAAGCUUAUGCAAUGGAGAAUAUUUUCAUGUUACUUAUAUUAACAUUGUUGCUUCUACUGAGUAAUAGAUUAGUCCAAUUUGUAUUCCUAGUUCAACAUAGCCUCCUUC